rnacentral:lncRNA from 10 species
CCAAGUGCCUCAGAUGAGAAGAGUUUCUCAGUCUUCAAGGGUAAAAUAACAGUGUGGACACCAAAAGGCCAAAGGUGAGCUUGACCAAACUGGAGGGACCUUGAGACUCAGUAGAUUAUUAAGGCAUUCCACAUGUUCUGCUUUGGAUGAUGGCAGUGUGACAUGGUUAACAAUUGCUACUGAGGUACAUCUGGCUAAAUCUCCAUGAAAAAUCUGUGCUCUUUCUUCCACUGUAUAGAGUUGUGGUUGCUGAGGCAAGGGCUAUGUCUCCUAGGCCUCUAGCAUUAGGUGUGGUUGUACAGAUAAGUUCUCACAAUGGAAUGUGAGUGGAAACGAUGUGUGUAUAUCUUUGGAGAAAUAUCAAUACAAAUUUUUUGCCCAUUUUUAUUUGGGUUACUUGUCUUUUUAUUGUUGAAUUGUAAUAGUUCUUUAUUAGUCCCUUAUCAGAUAUAUGAUUUGCAAAUUUUAUUUCCCAUUUUGAAAGUUACUUCUUGCUUUCUUGAUAGCAUUCUAUGAAACACACAGUUUUAAACUGUGAAAAUCCAACUUACCUUUUUUUUGUCGUUGCUUGUGCUUUUGGUGUUACAUUUAAGAAAUCUUUGCCUAAUUCAAGUUCACAAAGAUUUGCACCUAUGUUUUAUUCUAAGAAUUUCAUAUAUUUAGCACUUACAUUUUGGUCUUUGAGCCAUUUCGAGUUAAUUUUUGUAUAUGGUGUAAAGUAGGAGUCCAACUUUAUUUUGCAUGUGGAUAUCCAGUUGCCCCAGCACGACUUGUCAAAAUAACCUUUCACCAUUUGUCGAAAUAAGUUUUUCUAUUGAACAUGUUGGCACCCUUUUUGAAAAUCAAUGGACUAGGCUUUAUUUCUUGGUCUGAAUUCUAUUUUAUAUAUAUA